CUCGCUUCGGUUUACCUCUAACGGCUCCAUAGUUCGGGAUCGCUCCUUGUCCCUUCUCUCUCUCCGAUCGGUCGAUAUCUUCGCCUUCCGAGAACAACUCCACCGCCGAAGACGAAGCCAAACUGGAGCUUCCCAGAAAGAUUCGAAGCCAUGAGGUCGCCUUCGGUGAACUGAAUCAUCUCCAGCCCACCGAGUUCUUUCCUCCUCUUUCUCUUUUUUUUUUCCCGUUUCUUCUUGUUAUUGGGCAAGCGAGAUUUAGGUUUGUAUGCUGUGGUUUUCUUAUUGCCGAUUACUGUUUCGACUUCGCAUGGAUGUUUCUCGUAUUUUCGAUCCGUUGAGAAACCAAUUCAACUGCAUCAUCGCCAGCGUGCUGAUUCGAAUUGUUUAAAGACAGAGCACGAUCGAAUCAAAGAGAUCGAGCUAUCUUAAUGUUAGAUUAUUCAAACGACCUAGUUGCGAUUUCUAGAAAUUUGCGAACUUAAUUACUUCCAAACCAAUGCCGUAGCCCACGUCGUCACCGCCGUCUGUCGCCGCCAGUGUUGUUGCUGACGCCCUUUUUGCCUUUUCUCUCUCAUUCUCUCGUAAAAGCCUUCCUGAUCGCGAUCUUUCCCCAGUAGCCAGGAUGGGGUUUUGCCAGCUCUAUUUACAUUUUGAUUCCUACACUUGAAAGCCUAGCCGAGCAAUCCCAUCUUCUCCUUGAGGCUUCAGUUUUAGUAGCCUCCGUGUCACUUAUCAGGUCAGUUUACAUCUAAACAACAAACACUGAGAGAUCUAUCGUCAGUAUCGCUACUUAUCCUUGUCUAUAUUGAGACCAAAACAGGUAUAUGGAUUGAUUAUUGAGGUAAAAGAAUCAACUUCCAUGUCUAAGACCUUUGAAAUUAUUUGUGCUCACUGUUUGUUGUCAGAUUAUGAAUGCUAAUGGUUCUAUUUGAAUGGAUUAUUGUGGUACCUUUAAAGGCAAUAAGAUGGGAAGGCUAGCCGUGCUAUUCUUUAUUUGGUAUGAAACCUAGUAUAUUAUAGUGUUCGUAGUUUAUUCUUUCUUUCUUUCUAUACGAAUAUUUUAUUUCGAGUGGGUAAUUUGUAAAAGAAGUGUAGAGUUUCCUAAGGUGGAUUGAUGUGAUCUAGGUUCUCGAUCACAUGGGUGUUUCUUGCUUAUUUCAGUGUAUUUACCUUGUGAUGGACUCAGUUUAAAAAGUAGAUGAUAUAAUUAUUAAGUUGUUGGGAAAAGAGACCUAUUUAUGUAAUUUAUUUUCGUUCACACACACAGAGAAUGCAUUUCAUAGUGAGUGGAUUGUAGUACGUCCACUCUUAUAUACAAUAUAACCUUAUUAGGUGGAUUAUGGAUUGUUCACCCUCUUUUUAUAUUUUACAUAUGAUGCAUUCUGAUAUCAAGUGGAUGGAUUAUGAGUUAUUCAUCUUUUUUAUAUGAUGCAUAUCUUAAUGGAUGUAUUGUUGUUAUUUACUCUCUUUAUAAAUUAUGCUGAUUCUUUUCUAAAAUAAGACGAAAAAUUUGUAGUAAUGUAAAAUAGAUAACAUAGGGUAAAUUGAAGACACUAUUUAAAAAGGAAAUGAAAGAGUAUAAUGAAAAAUUAUUAAUGAUGCUAAAAGAACAUGAAGACAAUUAGUAGAGAUUUGUUGUUGCCUUCUAUGAUAUUUUAUCAUGUACAUAUUUUAUUAUUCCACUUUGCACUUAUAUGCUAUCUCCCUUUUUCUUUGAUCUCGAGAUUCGUAGACUUGAGUCACUCAUCAAAGGUUGAAUAGUAUUAUAAGAUCAUCUUGCUCAGAGAUACUCGAUGAAAAUAUUGGGAAUGGUUCCAUUAGUGUUCAUGAAUUAGUUUGUGUAGUUUCUCAUUUGUCAGUCAGGAUGGUUCUAGUUAUGUCUUCAUCAUGAGUCGAACAUUGUGUUGAUAUAUUUUUAUAUUUUUUAGUAUUUAUUAUUAUUACAACCUUAUGCAUCUUUAGUAGUGUCAUUCUAUGAUUAUGAUGCAUAUAUGGAUGGUGUCAUGAGGAAGGAGGCUAUCCCUCAUAGAAGGAUGAAGUCCUUCUAGUCAUCUCAAUAAAUUUAUUUGUAUUAAAGUAUGGUUAACUAUUUGAAUUUGAGAAGUUAUGGUUUGUUGUAUUUUAUGGUUUUUAUUUUUAAAUCAUGACUUUGGAUAGAGUCAUCUUCAAACAUGGUCGAGUGUCGAUUAGCAAAUAUUUAUAGUCAUAUAUUGUCGUAUUGUAUAUAUAUUUUGUGUCAAGAUUGUGUUUUACAUUUGGUUCAUUGCAGAUCAUGGUGCGAGGACGAUCUUCUCGAGUUUGCGGCGAUGAUCAUAAACGUAACCCCUCUAUUAGAGAGCUCAAGCAAGGGAAAUUAUGCUCUCUGGCACAAGAUGUUACAUCUGACCCUCAGAUAGGUCAAGUUUUAGAGCAACCGACCAAGCAAGGGGUGGGUUGUAGACUAGUUCGACAUAAGAGCCCAACAGAGUUUGACACCCGCUGAAAGUAUUUCAGUUGACAAGACCAGAAUAUUACAGCUUGCGAAGUUGGCGAAAGAGUGAGUUGUUACUUUCCACGGUACCACUGAUCCAUGGGAGGCUCAUGGAUGGUUAGAAGAUUUUGAGUACACUUUUGACUGUUUAGCCUGUAAGGAUGCAGAAAAGACACAAUUGGCCACUUAUUUUUUUCGAGGGCAAGCAGUGGUUUGGUUCCGUGUUAUGAGACAAACUUUUGUGAUGGGACCUAUCUCGUGGAAGCAAUUUAAGGAGACGUUUGAAAGCAUGUAUUGUCCAAAGUCAUUUAGAGAUGUGAGACGCCUGGAAUUUUUGCUCAUUUAGAGAUGUGAGACGCCUGGAAUUUUUGCUCAUUCGUCAAGGAGAUCGCAGCGUAUUUGACUACCGUGUGGAGUUUGAUAAGUUGGUAGUUUUGUUUGCAUCUAGUAGCCAUUGAUGUUUAUGGCUGUAACCAUUUUACCCAAGGGCUCGCUCCAUAUAUCCAGAAUAGGAUGUCUGAAUUGACUUUCACAAGUUUAAGGAGACCUUAGAUAUUGGCCAUUUCUAUUGUAGCGACACAACAAUGACUAAAUAUGGAAAAGGAACAAUACCACAAUAAAUUGCAGUUCCAAUGUCGCGGAAAAGAAGGCCAACUCAACAAACAGAACUCCCAGAACCAGGCUUAGGUUGGAGGAAACACCAUGAACUUCUCUCAACCUAAGAAAAGGGCUAGGAACGUAAAUACAUCAUUCCAAGAAUCCUCAUACUCAA